GAUGAACGCUGGCGGCGUGCUUAACACAUGCAAGUCGAACGAUGAAGGGGGAGCUUGCUCCUCUGGAUUAGUGGCGAACGGGUGAGUAACACGUGAGCAAUCUGCCCCUGACUCUGGGAUAAGCGCUGGAAACGGCGUCUAAUACCGGAUACGAGCCGAGCAGGCAUCUGCAUCGGUUGGAAAGAACUUCGGUCAGGGAUGAGCUCGCGGCCUAUCAGCUUGUUGGUGAGGUAAUGGCUCACCAAGGCGACGACGGGUAGCCGGCCUGAGAGGGUGACCGGCCACACUGGGACUGAGACACGGCCCAGACUCCUACGGGAGGCAGCAGUGGGGAAUAUUGCACAAUGGGCGAAAGCCUGAUGCAGCAACGCCGCGUGAGGGACGAAGGCCUUCGGGUUGUAAACCUCUUUUAGCAGGGAAGAAGCGAGAGUGACGGUACCUGCAGAAAAAGCACCGGCUAACUACGUGCCAGCCGCCGCAGUAAAAC
rnacentral:rRNA from 1 species